rnacentral:rRNA from 1 species
UACGGAGGGUGCAAGCGUUGUCCGGAUUUAUUGGGUUUAAAGGGUGCGUAGGUGGCCCUAUAAGUCAGUGGUGAAAGCCUGUCGCUCAACGAUAGGACUGCCAUUGAUACUGUAGGGCUUGAGUAUUGAUGAGGUAGGCGGAAUUGAUAGUGUAGCGGUGAAAUGCAUAGAUAUUAUCAAGAACACCGAUUGCGUAGGCAGCUUACUAAGGAAUAACUGACACUGAGGCACGAAAGCGUGGGGAUCAAACAGG